UAAUUUUGUAAAAACCGGAAGUGAGUUCAUAGUUUUUGCGCACACUUUUCCCAAGGUUUCUCGACAUUGCGCACAAUUUCUCAGUUGGACUGUGUCUCAAAUGAAAUAUGGCUGAUCGAUUUCGAAAGAGAAUAACUGAAAUGCGGAAUUGCAUAAAUAAUCGUUUUGAUAGUCUGCUUGAAGAGGAAGCUCCAGAGCAAGGAGAGGAUAGCCUUGCUGACAGACUGCUUCCACAAACAACCCCACACCUGUGUCAGCACCACUUCCUGUGGCCUUGCCGCUGCCAGCACCACUUUCUGUGGCCUUGCCACUGCCAGCACCACUUCCUGUGGCCUUGCCACUAUCAGCACCACUUCCUGGAGCUUCUCAUUCAGUACCACUUCCUGUGGCCUCCCCAUCAUGGAGUGCCCGUUCUACAUCUCCUGAUGUAGAUGAAGUGCAAGUUAUGAGAGCAAUAUGUUAUUUAAAGUAUUUGACAAAUUAACAGACUAGUCAGUUUAGGGCCUUUAUUUUGAAUAGUUCUAGUUUUUUGUGUAGAUCUCAAGCAACUGAUGCAGUUGAUGAGCAGCAUGGUGGACUCAACAUCUACUCCUGAUGGCAACCAGAUGAACAUCCUGCGAGACAACGUGUUUGAGUGUGCGCUCAGAGGUUUUCGGCGGGCACGCUUUAACCCUGAGGCGAAAUUGGACGUUGUCUUCAGGGAUGCUAAUGGAAUUGAAGAGGAGGCAGCUGACAAGGGUGGGCCCACGAGGGAGUGCCUCCGGCUGCUGAUAAGUGCCAUCCACUCAUCCGAUAUAUUUGAGGGACCAGACUGGGAAAAAUCCCUUUCCUGCAACUCUCAAGUAUCUACAGCACUCUAUGAUGGCGUGUACAAACAGGUGGGAAGAAUUAUUUCUGUCUGUCUGGUACAUGGGGGUGUAGAGCCACAGUUCUUUUUUAGAACGGCUCUACAGGCAAGUCUGUGGCCUACAACCUCCUGUCACAGACAUAGCAGAAAUCAACGACUACAACUUCCUGUCACAGACAUAGCAGAAAUCAACGACUACAACUUCCGGGAAAAGUUGACCAAGGUACUUGAUACUGUGAAUGUUUUUAUUUCUCUCAUGUUGUAAGUUAUUAUCCUGUUGGUUUUUAUGAAUAAUUUCAUUAUUGACACAUCCUUUCAAGGUUAUUAAUUUACAGUGUGCAUUCGCUCAUUCAUUAAUUUAAAUGAUCAAAGGCAGGGGCGUUGUUAGACCCUUUUUACAGGGGUACGUGCCCCAGUAUAACGACAGAACCUGUUGUUCCCCCCGACUGAUCCGGGGAUCUCAGCUAGGAUUGAGGCUUGCCUCACAGACGAGCUCUCUCUCACGGCCCACAUUGCCGCAGUCUCCCGGUCUUGUAGAUUCACCCUCUACAACAUCCGGAAGAUCAGGAGAUACC